GCUGUCAACGGUACCGCAGGGGCAACGCCCUGAGGAUAAGAAGUUGACAGCAUUUAACCG
rnacentral:sRNA from 1 species